rnacentral:rRNA from 1 species
GCGACGAUCUGUAGCUGGUCUGAGAGGACGACCAGCCACACUGGGACUGAGACACGGCCCAGACUCCUACGGGAGGCAGCAGUAGGGAAUAUUGGACAAUGGGCGAAAGCCUGAUCCAGCAAUGCCGCGUGUGUGAAGAAGGCCUAUGGGUUGUAAAGCACUUUCAGUUGGGAAGAAAAGCUUUUAGGUUAAUACCCUAGAGUCUUGACGUUACCAAUAGAAGAAGCACCGGCUAACUCUGUGCCAGCAGCCGCGGUAAGACAGAGGGUGCGAGCGUUAAUCGGAAUUACUGGGCGUAAAGCGUACGUAGGUGGUUGAGUCAGUCGGAUGUGAAAGCCCAAGGCUUAACCUUGGAACUGCAUUCGAUACUGCUCAGCUAGAGUAUAGUAGAGGGAAGCGGAAUUUCUAGUGUAGCGGUGAAAUGCGUAGAUAUUAGAAAGAACACCAGUGGCGAAGGCGGCUUCCUGGACUAAUACUGACACUGAGGUACGAAAGCGUGGGGAGCAAACAGGAUUAGAUACUACAAAGUGUCCCCCAGACUGGUGACAGUCUGGUGUGCAUCCAGCUAUAUCGGUGAAACCCCUAUGGGGUAAUACCGAGGGAAGCUAUAUUAUAUAUUAAUUAAUAGCCCCGUAGAGACUAUGUAGGUAAGGAGAUAGAAGAUGAUCAAAUCAUCUUUGUCGAGUCGAUGUAAAGAGAUAAUUCUUGGCUCUGUUCUGGGAGAUGGGUCAAUAAAGAUACAUAAAGGCUAUAAGAAUGCUCGCUUUUCGUUUCGACACUCGGUAAAAUCGAGUGAAUAUUUUUACUGGAAAGUAAAAGAAUUAGAAGAGUUAUCAAGCGAUAACUGUGUGUGGAAACAAUUGAAUAGUGGCUCUUAUGCUGAAGAGAUGCUUCGAUAUCAAAGUCGAGCACUUGAAGAAUUGACCCAAAUUUAUGAAUUGGUUCAUCGUCAUCAUAAAUUAAAAAUACGAAGAAAAUGGUUGAAUAGACUUAGUCCACUUUCUUUAUGUGUCUGGUGGUUAGAUGAUGGUUCAUUGGUUGCAAAUUGCCGUCAAGGGGUGAUAUGUACAGACUGUUUUUCCUAUGAUGAGUUAUUACUCGUAGUCAAAUAUUUUAGGAAAGUAUGGAAUUUAUACCCUAGUAUUGGCAAAGUAGCAAAAAGUGGACCCCGUUCUGAACAAUACCGAUUGUGGUUUCGUUCCAGAGAAGAGUUAAAGAAAUUUUUAAGGAUUAUUUUACCUUAUGUGCCAGUCAUAUCUAUGUUAUAUAAGGUACUUAUUCUUUACAAAGACCCACAACUGCAACAACGCUGGAUCUCUGAAGUAUGUGAAUUGUCAAAAUUUGGGCAAGAAGAAAUUAUGAUUUGUCUAAAUGAGCGUAAGAAAAAGAUUGCAUACUAUAAUUAAUGUUCAGAGAAUGAUAUAGUCCAAGCCUUAUGGUAACAUGAGGGCACUUGACCCUGGUAGUCCACGCCCUAAACUAUGAGAACUAGAUGUUGGGGGAAAUUGAUCCCUUAGUAUCGCAGCUAACGCGAUAAGUUCUCCGCCUGGGGAGUACGGCCGCAAGGUUAAAACUCAAAUGAAUUGACGGGGGCCCGCACAAGCGGUGGAGCAUGUGGUUCAAUUCGAUGCAACGCGAAGAACCUUACCUGGCCUUGACAUCCUCGGAACCUCGCAGAAAUGUGGGGGUGCCUUUUGGAACCGAGAGACAGGUGCUGCAUGGCUGUCGUCAGCUCGUGUCGUGAGAUGUUGGGUUAAGUCCCGCAACGAGCGCAACCCUUGUCUCUAGUUGCCAGCGAUUAGGUCGGGAACUCUAGAGAGACUGCCGGUGACAAACCGGAGGAAGGUGGGGAUGACGUCAAGUCAUCAUGGCCCUUACGGCCAGGGCUACACACGUGCUACAAUGGGUAGUACAGAGGGUUGCAAACCCGCGAGGGGGAGCUAAUCUCACAAAACUACUCGUAGUCCGGAUUGGAGUCUGCAACUCGACUCCAUGAAGUCGGAAUCGCUAGUAAUCGCGGAUCAGCAUGUCGCGGUGAAUACGUUCCCGGGCCUUGUACACACCGCCCGUCACACCAUGGGAGUGGGCUGUACCAGAAGUAGGUAGUCUAACCUUUCGGGGAGGGCGCUUACCACGGUAUGGUUCAUGACUGGGGUGAAGUUUAACGGCUUCCUUCACGAGUAAUCGUGUUGUAAAAUCCAACUAUAUCGGUGAACCCCUAACUGUACAAGCAGUGGGCAACGCCGAGGGAAGUUAGGAUAGAAGAUAGCAGAAUGUCUCAAACUAAAAUCAGUAAUAAAAUAAAGCAAACGCAGCUAAGUAGUUUUGAAAAAGAAGUCAUAGUAGCAUGUUUGCUUGGAGAUGGAACAUUGUCUCAAUCUGGUCAAUAUUACCGAUUGCGAAUUGAACAUGCUUCCAAAGAUAGGGAGUAUGUCGAGUGGAAAUAUAGCUUGCUAAGAAGGCUUUGUAUUUCUGGCAUUAAGGAUGUUCCUGCUCAUUCAUCACUUAGAUUCGGUACUGUAGGUCAUCCAGAAAUAUCUGAACUUAGGAAAACUUGGUAUCAGCCAGUAAAACAAGUACCCAAUAAAUUAAUAUUAACACCAUUAAUGAUUGCUAUUUGGUUUAUGGAUGAUGGUACUAAACACAGAGACACCGUUGAUAUAUCGGUUCAUAAUUUUUCUGAGAGCAGUUUGCAAAUUUUGAGAAACCAAUUAUUGAAUUAUGGUGUUUUGACUACCAUUAAUUCAGACUCAAAAGGACACAGAUUGUAUGUUUUGAAGAAAAGUUAUCCUAUCUUUGAAAAACUUGCUAAACCGUACAUUGUAAAAUGUAUGAUACGUAAGUUGCCUUAACCCCGUAGAGGCCAUACGUUGGCUCCUUUGAAAAAAGGAUGAAGACAUGGUCCGACACCCUCAGUAAUGCGGGAUAAAACAGUAAGCGUAACAAGGUAGCCGUAGGGGAACCUGCGGCUGGAUCACCUCCUUUAAAGAGAAAGGGACUCAAUCUACGACGUUGAGUAUCCACACAAAUUACUUGAUCGGAUAAAUAAAUCAAUGGGCCUGUAGUUCAGCCGGCUAGAACGCAUCCCUGAUAAGGAUGAGGUCGGUGGUUCGAGUCCACCCGGGCCCACCAAAAUAUCAGGGGGCUAUAGCUCAGCUGGGAGAGCGCCUGAUUUGCAUUCAGGAGGUCAGCGGUUCGAUCCCGCUUAGCUCCACCAAAAGGCCCCAUUAUCUAAUAUUAGUAUUUAGUGGUAAGCAUUGAUGCGUCAAUGCUUACCACUAAACAUUAAGUUUUAGUUAUUUAAAUGAUUUAUUGUUCUUUAAAAAUUAGGCAGCUGAUGUAAAGAAAUAAGAUAUUAUCUAUUUUACUCAUAUAGAUAACGUCUUGGGUAUAUUGCAUUCGUACAGCGCAUAUAUAAAUAUGUAAUAUGUAACUUCAGAAUUUUUGGGGUUAUAGAGUCAAGU